GACGAACGCUGGCGGCGCGCCUAACACAUGCAAGUCGAACGGGAUCUUUUAGAGAGCUUGCUCUCUGGCUGAUCUAGUGGCGGACGGGUGAGUAACACGUGAGCAACCUGCCCUGGAGUGGGGGAUAACGUCUGGAGACGGACGCUAAUACCGCAUAACAUCAUUGAGCGGCAUCGCUUGGUGAUCAAAGGAGAAAUCCGCUUUGGGAUGGGCUCGCGCCCGAUUAGGUAGUUGGCGGGGUAACGGCCCACCAAGUCGACGAUCGGUAGCCGGACUGAGAGGUUGAACGGCCACAUUGGGACUGAGACACGGCCCAGACUCCUACGGGAGGCAGCAGUGGGGAAUAUUGGGCAAUGGGCGAAAGCCUGACCCA
rnacentral:rRNA from 1 species